rnacentral:rRNA from 1 species
ACCCGCUGAACUUAAGCAUAUUACUAAGCGGAGGAAAAGAAAUCAACGAAGAUUGCCUCAGUAGCGGCGAGUGAAGCGAGCAAUAGCUCAAGUUUAGAAUCUGUGGCUGUAUCAGUCACCGAAUUGUAAUCUAAAGGGGUAAGCAAAAGGGGAAAUCGAGGUAUAAGUUCCUUGGAACAGGACAUCAUAGAGGGUGAAAAUCCCGUAUGUAACCUCUGUUGAACCGAAUGUUUUCCUUCUAAGAGUCGGGUUGUUUGGGAUUGCAGCCCUAAAUGGGAGAUAAACUUCUUCUAAGGCUAAAUAUCUAUGGGAAACCGAUAGCGAACAAGUACUGUGAAGGAAAGGUGAAAAGAACUUUGAAAAGAGGGUUAAAAGAUUUGAAAUCGUUGAGAAGGAAGCAGUAGAAGUAGAUUUAUAUUAGCUAUGAAGUAAACCUCGUGAGGCACCAGCUCGUAGUAGUUUCGGUACGUCAUUGGCUACCUGCUACGAUGUAAUGGCACUCUGAGGUGUUUUCAUAGCUAAAGAGCAGUUGCAGGUCUUAUCCUGUU